rnacentral:rRNA from 1 species
UACGUAGGUGGCGAGCGUUGUCCGGAUUUAUUGGGUUUAAAGGGUGCGUAGGCGGUCCUAUAAGUCAGUGCUGAAAUAUCCCGGCUUAACCGGGAGGGUGGCAUUGAUACUGUUGGACUUGAGUAAAGUUGAGGUUGGCGGAAUUGACGGUGUAGCGGUGAAAUGCUUAGAUAUCGUCAAGAACACCGAUUGCGAAGGCAGCUAACUAAGCUUUAACUGACGCUGAGGCACGAAAGUGUGGGGAUCAAACAGG